ACGAACGCUGGCGGCGUGCUUAACACAUGCAAGUCGAACGGAAAGGCCCUGCUUUUGUGGGGUGCUCGAGUGGCGAACGGGUGAGUAACACGUGAGUAACCUGCCCUUGACUUUGGGAUAACUUCAGGAAACUGGGGCUAAUACCGGAUAGGAGCUCCUGCUGCAUGGUGGGGGUUGGAAAGUUUCGGCGGUUGGGGAUGGACUCGCGGCUUAUCAGCUUGUUGGUGGGGUAGUGGCUUACCAAGGCUUUGACGGGUAGCCGGCCUGAGAGGGUGACCGGCCACAUUGGGCCUGAGAUACGGCCCGGACCCCUCCGGGGGGCAGGGGGGGGGAAUAUUGCAAAAGGGGCGGACGCCUGACGCAGCAACCCCGCGGGCGGGAUGGCGGCCUUCGGGUUGUAAACCGCUUUCCCCUGGAACGACGCGUGAGUGACGGAAAUGGGUAAAGAAGCCCCGGCUACCUACGU
rnacentral:rRNA from 1 species